GUGGGGAAUAUUGGACAAUGGGCGAAAGCCUGAUCCAGCCAUGCCGCGUGAGUGAUGAAGGCCUUAGGGUUGUAAAGCUCUUUCAGUAGGGAAGAUAAUGACGGUACCUACAGAAGAAGCCCCGGCUAACUUCGUGCCAGCAGCCGCGGUAAUACGAAGGGGGCUAGCGUUGUUCGGAUUUACUGGGCGUAAAGCGCACGUAGGCGGAUUGGUCAGUUAGAGGUGAAAUCCUGGGGCUCAACUCCAGAACUGCCUUUAAUACUGCCAGUCUAGAGUCCAGAAGAGGUGAGUGGAACUCCUAGUGUAGAGGUGGAAUUCGUAGAUAUUAGGAAGAACACCAGUGGCGAAGGCGGCUCACUGGUCUGGUACUGACGCUGAGGUGCGAAAGCGUGGGGAGCAAACAGGAUUAGAAACCCUUGUAGUCC
rnacentral:rRNA from 1 species